UCGCACGAGAACGUUCUGGCUUUGCCAGGACAAGUACAGUGGCGGACGGGUGCGUAUCGCGUAGAUAACCUGCCCUCAGGCGCGGGACAAUCACGGGAAACCGUGGCUAAUACCGCACGUCGUCUGGGCCCCGCAUGGGGACCAGAUGAAAGCUUGGGGUUACCCAGGCGCCUUGGGAUGGGUCUGCGUUGGAUUAGCUUGUUGGUGAGGCAACGGCUCACCAAGGCGACGAUCCAUAGCUGGUCUGAGAGGACGAUCAGCCACACUGGGACUGAGACACGGCCCAGACUCCUACGGGAGGCAGCAGUGGGGAAUCUUGCACAAUGGGGUCACCCCUGAUGCAGCCAUGCCGCGUGGAGGAAGACACCCCUAUGGGGCGUAAACUCCUUUUCUGAAUGAAGAAACCCCUGUAGGUUCAGGGCGCGACGGUAGUUCAGGAAUAAGCACCGGCUAACUCCGUGCCAGCAGCCGCGGUAAUACGGAGGGUGCAAGCGUUGUCCGGAAUCACUGGGUGUAAAGGGUGUGCAGGCGGGGCAACAAGUCGGAUGUGAAACCCCAUGGCUCAACCAUGGAGGUGCAUUCGAAACUGUUGCUCUUGAGUCCCGGAGAGGCUGUCGGAAUUCGUGGUGUAGCGGUGAAAUGCGUAGAUAUCACGAGGAACACCAGAGGCGAAAGCGGGCAGCUGGACGGGUACUGACGCUCAGGCACGAAAGCGUGGGGAGCAAACAGGAUUAGAUACCC
rnacentral:rRNA from 1 species